GACGAACGCUGGCGGCGUGCUUAACACAUGCAAGUCGAACGGAAAGGCCCUUCGGGGUACUCGAGUGGCGAACGGGUGAGUAACACGUGGGUGAUCUGCCCUGCACUUUGGGAUAAGCCUGGGAAACUGGGUCUAAUACCGAAUAGGACCACGCGCUUCAUGGUGUGUGGUGGAAAGCUUUUGCGGUGUGGGAUGGGCCCGCGGGCUAUCAGCUUGUUGGUGGGGUAAUGGCCUACCAAGGCGACGACGGGUAGCCGGCCUGAGAGGGUGACCGGCCACACUGGGACUGAGAUACGGCCCAGACUCCUACGGGAGGCAGCAGUGGGGAAUAUUGCACAAUGGGCGCAAGCCUGAUGCAGCGACGCCGCGUGAGGGAUGACGGCCUUCGGGUUGUAAACCUCUUUCAAUAGGGACGAAGCGCAAGUGACGGUACCUAUAGAAGAAGCACCGGCCAACUACGUG
rnacentral:rRNA from 1 species